AGAAAACCCUCCUUCAGUUUGUUUCAAUGUUGGAAUCAUCUACCAACCAGGCAUAUGGUUAGAAUUUGUACUAUGGGAUAAGGUUGACAAGACUGUUGAUAAACAUAGAUUAUACUAACGAAUUAGUAUUCAUAUUAGUAUCAGCAUUCCCUUGCUUUAUAAGAAUCAUUUAAUAUUAGUUUUACAAGUAAUUUAUAUAGUGCAUUUAUAGAGGAAUCAAACAAGCAUAGGAGCUAGAAAAUAAGAAUGUCAUAGUUCUUCAUUUGGAGGUAGAUCCGAGCAUCACAUGACUUAUUUUAAAUUUCCUUUAUGAUUGAUAAAGAACAUUGGUUUGUUUCAUAUUCGCAGACGACACACAUGCUGGUUAGCAAUUCACGCUUAGUUUGCAAUGUGGCCAGUGAUUAUUUUGGAACAGUUCACUGUCCCUGAUCUAAUUUUUUCAUUGUUUUACUUUGACAGAAAAUUCUGAGUUAUCAAUCAUCUGAUGCCUUUCUGCUCGGCCUCACAACUGUAGUGAAGGUAUUCCCGAAGAAAUAUAAUAGUGGCAAACUGGCAACUACUACCUAGAGUCCUUUUCAUUGCAAAAUUGUUUUGUGUUUGAACUGGCUUGUGAGCUUUUGUUAUAUGUUCUGACCACAUGAAGUUCCAAAAAACCUUCUGGCACAAGGGAAAUAUUGGGCGCUCUCACUAAAGCCUUCUUGCAAAAUGGGUAUGUUUGGGACUAAACAAAGAUUCAAGCUAAGUCAGUUAUUGUGUUCUUUUAGUUGGGUUCAUAUAGAUUUUAAAAACUAUUCCUGUAAAGAUAUGUCACACAUUUUUGUGAGUAUAAUUCUUCGCACAUUGUAUAUCUAAUGCCACUGAUGGAUCAUUUACACUAGAUAUUUUGUUUUGUAAUGUCGUUUUCAACAGGGCGUACCUAUGGUUAUGCUAAGGGGGUGCAUAGGACACCGGGUCAAAAACAUUUUUCUCCGUAAAUUGUAUCUACAUAUAGUGUGUGACACCCCUGACAUUAUUGAAAAUUAUAUGUGAUUACAUACAGUGACAUCAGGUUGCUUUUGGUCUAGGUCCACCCCUGGUUUUGAAUUGUUAACUCUUUCUCUUAAAGGACAUGAACGGGGCAACAUGAUUAUCUAAAAUUAAGAUAUAUAAAAGACAAGGAAUUUCAUUAUUUAUCAAUUAUAUUCGUUAUGAUUUAUCAUAUAACAAUUUUAAUUUCAGACUUUUUAAUAUGUUUAACUAAGUAUAUAUUAAUUCGGACGUGCAAAACUGGGUCAUCACACGCAAGCAGAACCUGAAUAUAGGAUAAGCAGUGCGUUGUGCAAAACUGCAGUUAUCUAUUUUUUAGCACAAGAAAAGUUUAAAGAGAACAAUACUUGCGUAAGUAUAUGGGCAGGAGUGCUCUAGAGUGUCCCACUGUAUUAAGAAUUUUUACCCCUCCAAUAAAAGAUCUAUUGGUGAUAAAUAUUUCCUAUUGAGACAAAUCUUCUACUUUUCUUUUGUUGAGUGCAUACAAGGCACCCUGCAGCCUCUCUGCUUGG